GAGCCUUGACAAAUACAUGCACAACUGUGUAACCAAAUUCCUGUCAAGAUAUAGAAAGUUACCAUCACUUCAGCAAGAUCCCUCACUCCACUUUUGUCAAUCCUUACCCUGAGACAGCCACUGUUUUUUCUUCACCAAAUAUUAGUUUUGUCCUGUUUUAGAAGUUUGCACAAAUAAAAAUCAUAGAAUAUGUUCUUUUUUGUGAGGGAUAAGUUGUGUCUUAAAAGCUGACAAAGGACAAGGGACAGAGCCUUUUUGUGAGGGAGGAGGAGGAAAGUUUCAUCCAAUUGUACCACUCACCCACAGCCAAUAUAGGGCCACCUUGGUUAAUUGCACAGACUAGACACAGGAUUUUCUGUGAAAUCCUGACUUUGAAUUCUGAUUACCUAGAUACAAAGAAUCAGUAGUCCAAAUCUUUUGACUUCCUGUGAUUUUUUUUUUCUUUUUCUGACUCACAGGAAACUUUUGCCCCUAGAGUCUUGGUACGACAAUCUGAAAUCAAGUUGCUUUUGUGUGGCUCUCUUUAAGUGUGGAUUGAUAUAAGUAUUGACCGUGUAUCCCAGGCUUCCUUGGAGUCCCAAGCUCAUCUCAGUUCAGCCACCUACCGACUAACCAAUAUAAUUAGCCAAUUAACAAAAAGAAAAGAAAAGAAAAGAAAAGAAAAAGAAGCCACGUGUUUUUAUUUGGAGAUGAGAGCAUCCAGUUUCACAUCACUACUGAACACAUGUUUGCUGCAGUUUACUAGAGGUCCACUUCAGACCCUCUUUGCCUGGGUAUCACCAGUGGAGGCUGCAGAACAGCCAAGAUUGCUGCCUGCUUCUUCCUCUGGAAGCUUCGUCCCAGAGGGACACCAGGCUGAUGCCAGCUGGAGCUCUCCUGUAUGAGGUGUCUGUCAGUCCCUGCUGGGAGGUCUCUCCCAGUCAGGAGGCUUGGGGGAUCAGGGACCCACUUGAGGAGGCAGUCUGUCCCUUAGCAGAGCUUGAGCACUAUGCUGGGAGAAUACUCCUUGUCAGGAUCAGCUGCUCUCUUCAGAGCCAGCAGGCAGGAAAGUUUAAGUCUGCUGAAGCUGUCCCCACAGCCGCCCCUUCCCCCAGGUGCUCUGUCCCAGGGAGAUGGGAGUUUUAUCUAUAAGCCCCUGACUGGCAUUUCUUUCAGAGAUGCCCUGCUGAGUGACGAGGAAUCCAGAGAGGCAGUCCGGCCACAGCCACUUUGCCACGCUGUGUUGAGUUCUGCCCAGUCCAAACUUCCAGGCCCCCUUAGCACUAUCAGGGGAAAACCACCUACUCAAGCCUCAGUAAUGGUGGACGCCCCUCCUCCUACCAAGCUCUAUCAUUCCAGGUUGACUUCAGACUGCUGAGCUGGCAGUGAGAAUUUCAAGCCAGUGGUUCUUAUCUUGCUGGGCACUGUGGGAGUGGGACCUGCUCGCUGAGUGAGACCACUUGGCUCCCUGGCUUCAGCCCCCUUUCCAGGGGAGUGAACGGUUCUGCCCCACUGGGGUUCCAGGAGCCACUGGGGUACAAGAAAAAAAAAAAAAAACUUCUGCAGCUAACUCAGCGUCUGCCCAAAUAACCGCCCAGUUUUGUGCUUGAAACCCAGAACCCUGGUGGUGUAGGCACACUAGGGAAUCUCCUGACCUGUGGAUUGCAAAAACCCUGGGAAAAGCGUAGUACCCAGGCCAGAUAGCACAGUCCCUCACAGCUUCCCUUUGGGUGGAGGAGGGAGGUCCCUGGCUCCUUACACUUUCCGGUGAGGUGACGCCCCACUUUGCUUCUGUUUGCCCUCUGUGGGCUGCACCCACUGCCUAACCAGUCCCAAUGAGAUGAACUGGGUACCUCAGAUAGAAAUGCAGAAAUCACCUGCCUUCUGCAUUGGUCUUGCUGGGAGCUGCAGACUGGAGCCAUCUUGCCAGAUUGAGUAAUUUCUUUCAACUUAGCUUUCUAAUCAAUUGUUAAAACAUGCAUAAUUAUUUAAAUAUUGGCAUAUGUAAAUUUGGAAGUACGGCAGUAUGGAAUAAACUAUUUUAUCCAACAUUUGAGGGAUAAUGCAUGUAAGACCAGGUGUAAUUCUCAUUUAAUUAAUAUCAGGCUCAUCAGUCUAUGCAGUUCCAUUUUCAAUAUUGACAUGUAUAAACAACAGAUGCAAAGCCUAUACACAUUCAAUAAAUUUUUUAUGACAUUAUUAUGCUCAUUAUGGAAGAGUUGUGUCUGUCUACAUAAACACUUGCACAUGCACAACAGUUAAGGAAAGCGAUUCUAAGCCACCUAAAUACCUAAAAUACACAGACCAAAAGAUUUUUUGUAAGGAACAGGGUUUGAGAUUAAAAGAAAAUAUUAGCUGGGUGUGGUGGCUCACACCUAUAAUCCCAGUGAUAUGGGACGGGGACAGUGCUAGGUAGAGAAAGCCGGGUCCCAGGCUAGGGCUCUACCCCCACGGAACUAGGUGAGGACAAGCACUCCUGCUUUUGCCGCCCAAAAUAUUUCAUUUUCCAAGACCACGCUGGGCGGACACAUCCUCAUCCUGGGCCUUAAAAACCAAAGUCCCUAGCAGACAGACACACAAGUGGCUGGAUGUGGAGAGGCGCACAUUGGCGGAAGAAGACACAAGUGGCUGGUCACAAUAGUGCGCUGCGGAAGAGUAUUCCGACAGGAACCGGCAGGCCAGCAGGCCGGUGACUGGCAGAACUGCAGAGUUUGGCCCGAGUGGUCGGAGAAGAGUCAGGCCGCUGAGCUGCCCAACUCCAGGGGAAAACCAUCGCCCUUCUGGCUCCCCUAUCGGGUGAGAGCUACUCCCACUCAAUAAAACUUUGCACUCAUUCUCUGAGCCCACAUGUGAUCCAAUGCUUCCAGCUCACCAAGGCAAGAACCCAGGAUACAGAAAGUCCUCUGUCCUUGCAACAAGGUAGAGGGUCUAAGUGAGCUGGUUAACACAAGCCGCCUAUAGACGGCGAAACUAAAAGAGCUUCAGGAGCUGUAAAUAUUCACCCCUAGACGCUGCUGUGGAGUUGAAGCCCCACAGCCUGCUCGUCUGUGUGCUGCCCUAGAGGUUUGAGCAGCGAAGCACUGAAGAAGCGAGUCACACCCCCAUCGCACGCCCUGCGAGGGGGACAAAGGGGCCUUUCCCCUUUCACCAGCACUUUGGGAGGCUGAGGUGGGUGGAUCACCCUGAGGUCAGGAGUUGGAAACCAGUCUGGCCAAUAUGGUAGAACCCUGUCUCUACUAAAAACACAAAAAAAUCAGCUGGGCGUGGUGGCAGGUGCCUGUAAUCCCAGCUAC
rnacentral:lncRNA from 10 species